AUGCACGCUGGCGGCGUGCCUAAUACAUGCAAGUCGAGCGAACAGACGAGGAGCUUGCUCCUCUGACGUUAGCGGCGGACGGGUGAGUAACACGUGGAUAACCUACCUAUAAGACUGGGAUAACUUCGGGAAACCGGAGCUAAUACCGGAUAAUAUAUUGAACCGCAUGGUUCAAUAGUGAAAGACGAUUUUGCUGUCACUUAUAGAUGGAUCCGCGCCGCAUUAGCUAGUUGGUAAGGUAACGGCUUACCAAGGCAACGAUGCGUAGCCGACCUGAGAGGGGGAUCCGCCAACAUGGAACUGAGACACGGUCCAGACUCCUACGGGAGGCAGCAGUAGGGAAUCUUCCGCAAUGGGCGAAAGCCUGACGGAGCAACGCCGCGUGAGUGAUGAAGGUCUUCGGAUCGUAAAACUCUGUUAUUAGGGAAGAACAAAUGUGUAAGUAACUAUGCACGUCUUGACGGUACCUAAUCAGAAAGCCACGGCUAACUACGUG
rnacentral:rRNA from 1 species